rnacentral:tRNA from 1 species
GAUCGAGUAGCUCAGUCGGUAGAGCAACGGCCUUUUAAGCCGUGGGUCCUGGGUUCGAGCCCCAGCUCGAUCACCA